GACGAACGCUGGCGGCGUGCUUAACACAUGCAAGUCGAGCGGAAAGGCCUCUUCGGGGGUACUCGAGCGGCGAACGGGUGAGUAACACGUGAGUAAUCUGCCUCUGGCUUCGGGAUAGCCACCGGAAACGGUGAUUAAUACCGGAUACGACACAUCACUGCAUGGUGCGUGUGUGGAAAGUUUUUUCGGCCAGGGAUGUGCUCGCGGCCUAUCAGCUUGUUGGUGGGGUAAUGGCCUACCAAGGCUUCGACGGGUAGCCGGCCUGAGAGGGUGACCGGCCACACUGAGCCUGAGACACGGCCCAGACUCCUACGGGAGGCAGCAGUGGGGAAUCUUGGACAAUGGGCGGAAGCCUGAUCCAGCCACGCCGCGUGAGGGAUGACGGCCUUCGGGUUGUAAACCUCUUUCAGCACAGACGAAGCGCAAGUGACGGUAUGUGCAGAAGAAGGACCGGCCAACUACGUGCCAGCCGCCGCCGUAACAC
rnacentral:rRNA from 1 species